rnacentral:rRNA from 1 species
GACGAACGCGGGCGGCGUGCCUAAUACAUGCAAGUAGGACGCACAGUUUAUACCGUAGCUUGCUACACCAUAGACUUGAGUUGCGAACGGGUGAGUAACGCGUAGGUAACCUGCCUAUUAGAGGGGGAUAACUAUUGGAAACGAUAGCUAAUACCGCAUAACAGUAUGUAACACAUGUUAGAUGCUUGAAAAGAUGCAAUGCAUCGCUAGUAGAUGGACCUGCGUUGUAUUAGCUAGUAGGUAGGGUAAUGGCCUACCUAGGCGACGAUACAUAGCCGACCUGAGAGGGUGAUCGGCCACACUGGGACUGAGACACGGCCCAGACUCCUACGGGAGGCAGCAGUAGGGAAUCUUCGGCAAUGGGGGGAACCCUGACCGAGCAACGCCGCGUGAGUGAAGAAGGUUUUCGGAUCGUAAAGCUCUGUUGUUAAGGAAGAACGAGUGUGAGAAUGGAAAGUUCAUACUGUGACGGUACUUAACCAGAAAGGGACGGCUAACUACGUGCCAGCAGCCGCGGUAAUACGUAGGUCCCGAGCGUUGUCCGGAUUUAUUGGGCGUAAAGCGAGCGCAGGCGGUUAGAAAAGUCUGAAGUGAAAGGCAGUGGCUCAACCAUUGUAGGCUUUGGAAACUGUUUAACUUGAGUGCAGAAGGGGAGAGUGGAAUUCCAUGUGUAGCGGUGAAAUGCGUAGAUAUAUGGAGGAACACCGGUGGCGAAAGCGGCUCUCUGGUCUGUAACUGACGCUGAGGCUCGAAAGCGUGGGGAGCGAACAGG